GAUGAACGCUGGCGGCGUGCCUAAUACAUGCAAGUCGAGCGAACAGACGAGGAGCUUGCUCCUCUGACGUUAGCGGCGGACGGGUGAGUAACACGUGGAUAACCUACCUAUAAGACUGGGAUAACUUCGGGAAACCGGAGCUAAUACCGGAUAAAAUAUUGAACCGCAUGGUUCAAUAGUGAAAGACGGUUUUGCUGUCACUUAUAGAUGGAUCCGCGCCGCAUUAGCUAGUUGGUAAGGUAACGGCUUACCAAGGCAACGAUGCGUAGCCGACCUGAGAGGGUGAUCGGCCACACUGGAACUGAGACACGGUCCAGACUCCUACGGGAGGCAGCAGUAGGGAAUCUUCCGCAAUGGGCGAAAGCUUGACGGAGCAACGCCGCGUGAGUGAUGAAGGUCUUCGGAUCGUAAAACUCUGUUAUUAGGGAAGAACAAAUGUGUAAGUAACUAUGCACGUCUUGACGGUACCUAAUCAGAAAGCCACGGCUAACUACGUG
rnacentral:rRNA from 1 species